AGAGUUUGAUCCUGGCUCAGAUUGAACGCUGGCGGUAUGCUUAACACAUGCAAGUCGAACGGAAACGAUACUAGCUUGCUAGUAGGCGUCGAGUGGCGGACGGGUGAGUAACGCGUAGGAAUCUACCUAAUAGUGGGGGAUAGCCCGGAGAAAUCCGGAUUAAUACCGCAUAAUCUCUAUGGAGUAAAGGGGCCCUCUUCUUGAAAGGUUUCGCUAUCACAUGAGCCUGCGUAAGAUUAGCUAGUUGGUGAGGUAAAAGCUCACCAAGGCGACGAUCUUUAGCUGGUCUGAGAGGAUGAUCAGCCACACUGGGACUGAGACACGGCCCAGACUCCUACGGGAGGCAGCAGUGGGGAAUAUUGGACAAUGGGGGCAACCCUGAUCCAGCAAUACCGCGCUGUGGGAAGAAGGCCUGAGGGUUGUAAAGCACUUUCAAUUGUGAAGAAAAGUUAAUAGUUAAUAACUAUUAGACCUGACGGUAACUUUAGAAGAA
rnacentral:rRNA from 1 species